rnacentral:lncRNA from 1 species
UAGAAUCAGGCAGUCUGCUCUAAUGAUUUGUAUGGAUGUGUGAGAAAGAUUUGCUCCAAAAGGCUUAUAUGGGAAUGUGCUCUGAAUGUAACUGGUUCCCAUAGGCUCACAGGUUAUAGCACUAUUAUGAGGUGUGGCCUUCCUGCUGCCUACGGAUCAAUACAUGGAACUGUCAGUCCCUUCUCCAGCAUCAAACCUGCAUGCUGCCAUGUUUCCUGGGAUGCUG